UGAGGAAUAUUGCGCAAUGGGGGCAACCCUGACGCAGCAACGCCGCGUGAGUGAGGAAGGUUUUCGGACCGUAAAGCUCUGUCGAGCGGGAAGAAAUGCAUGGUGGCUAAUAUCCAUCAUGCUUGACGGUACCGCUAAAGGAAGCACCGGCUAACUCCGUGCCAGCAGCCGCGGUAAUACGGGGGGUGCGAGCGUUGUUCGGAAUUAUUGGGCGUAAAGAGCGUGUAGGCGGCCGAAUAAGUCAGAUGUGAAAUCCCUGGGCUUAACCCAGGACGUGCAUUUGAAACUAUUCGGCUAGAGUAGGGGAGAGGAAAGUGGAAUUCCUGGUGUAGAGGUGAAAUUCGUAGAUAUCAGGAGGAACACCGGUGGCGAAGGCGACUUUCUGGCCCUAUACUGACGC
rnacentral:rRNA from 1 species